ensembl:lncRNA
GAGUUCCCUGGUUCCUUGCCUUAGCCUUUGGGCGAAAAUAAAGCGCUGUUCUCCCUAAACCGUCUGCGUCUGGGUCCUACCUGCGUGCCUGCACCCGCAACCGUAACAUGUCCAGCUUAAUCCUUCACGGACAAGGGUUGCCAUUCCGUGCGUCGACAGAUAGACCCAGCGAGGAGGAACCCAGGCAGCUUGAGGUUGUUGCCAGAAACCAGUGUGUCUCUUGCAGGAGGACUACUGCCACUUUAUUGGAAUCGGCGAGAUGCCUGAUGACUUCGAGUUUGGCGAUGAUGGCGACGGGUCAUGACGGGUGGGGGCAGCCGAGUUGGACUGGUGGGGGAUCCUGGGUUCCUCAUCCUCCUGCCAUUGCUCACUUGAAGGAUAUCCCUCUUCCGUGAUACCCGCAUGGCUAUCACUCCCCCGGGGAAGCCAGGCUGAGAAGUCUACGAUGGCCAUGGUUUGUUCUUCCUUAUGGUUGAGGGACUGCGCCGUGUUCACC